AUUGAACGCUAGCGGGAUGCCUUACACAUGCAAGUCGAACGGAGUGGCGAACGGGUGAGUAAUGUAUCGAAACGUGCCCAGUAGCGGGGGAUAACUACGCGAAAGCGUAGCUAAUACCGCAUACUAUUGGAGCGGCCGAUAGCGGAUUAGCUAGUGGGGGGGGUAACGGCUCACCAAGGCGACGAGCCGUAGCUGGCUUGAGAGGACGACCCGCCACACUGGGACUGAGACACGGCCCAGACUCCUACGGGAGGCAGCAGUGGGGAAUUUUGGGCAAUGGGGGAAAGCCUGACCGAGCAAUCCCGCGUGUGCGAUGAAGGUCUUCGGAUUGUAAAGCACUUUUGGCAGGGAAGCGGUACCUGAAGAGUAAGCACCGGCUAACUACGUGCCAGCCGCCGCGGUAAUAC
rnacentral:rRNA from 1 species